rnacentral:rRNA from 1 species
AGAAUCAACGCUGGCGGCGUGCCUAACACAUGCAAGUCGCACGAGAAAGGGAGUUCGCUCCUGAGUAAAGUGGCGCACGGGUGAGUAACACGUGAAUCAUCUACCUCCGAAUGGGGAAUAACUGAGAGAAAUCUUAGCUAAUACCGCAUAAUACCUACGGGUCAAAGCAGCAAUGCGUUUGGAGAGGAGUUCGCGGUCGAUUAGUUAGUUGGCGGGGUAAUGGCCCACCAAGACGAUGAUCGAUAUCCGGCCUGAGAGGGCGCACGGACACACUGGAACUGAAACACGGUCCAGACUCCUACGGGAGGCAGCAGUGGGGAAUUUUGCGCAAUGGGGGAACCCUGACGCAGCAACGCCGCGUGGAGGAUGAAAUAUCUUGGUAUGUAAACUCCUUUCGAUGGGGAAGAUAAUGACGGUACCCAUAGAAGAAGCCCGGCUAACUUCGCGCCAGCAGCCGC